rnacentral:lncRNA from 1 species
GAAGAAAAGAAAUGUUCAAAUUAAAAAAAAAAAAAAAAAAAAAAAACCCAAUGGCUAGCUGACUUGGCUAGCCGUUAUAUUCAAAAAAAUUUCAAAUAACCGACACUAAUAGUAAAUAAAAAAAAUUGCCUAUGAAUACCUAUUACUGUUGGUUAUAACUGACAGUAUUAAAAAAUCCUUCUUUAAUGAUGUCGGUUAUAACCGACAACAAUAGGAAAACUAUAUAAAAGCCAGCCUUUGGCCCUUUAGCCCUUUGAAAUUCCAUAGGGCCCUCCCAGAUUCCCAAGCCCUCUGGCCUAGCCCUCUGUUGGAGAUGGUUUUAGGGCUAUUUUCGGCCAUCUAGCCCUCUGGACCCUUCGGUUGGAGAUGGCCUCAGCAAGAGUAAGCACUCCAAACGAUGUCGUGGUAUUCAUCUUCUUCAAAUUCAAAGUGCAACGUAUGCAACUAAAACUUUUAGAUUUGCAAAAUUCCAGAUACGGGCCAUUUAAAAAAAAAAAACGCUCAAUCGAACGCCUCGACCACGUCUACGCAAGUUUUCGCCUACUACCACUGGACAUAGGCUAUUUCACC